rnacentral:rRNA from 1 species
UACAGAGGGGGCAAGCGUUGUUCGGAAUUACUGGGCGUAAAGGGCGCGUAGGCGGCCCGCUAAGUCGAACGUGAAAUCCCCGGGCUCAACCCGGGAACUGCGUCCGAUACUGGCAGGCUUGAAUCCGGGAGAGGGAUGUGGAAUUCCAGGUGUAGCGGUGAAAUGCGUAGAUAUCUGGAGGAACACCGGUGGCGAAGGCGGCAUCCUGGACCGGCAUUGACGCUGAGGCGCGAAAGCCAGGGGAGCAAACGGG